UAAGCAAACUGAAUGUGAUUGUGUUGUGC
rnacentral:piRNA from 1 species